rnacentral:lncRNA from 1 species
UGAUGUCAUACAGAAAACGUCCCGGUAGACGGAACAGAUAUGACGGCUGGUUACACAAAGGAAAGGGGGUUGGGCUUGAAUGAAAGAGCGGGAAAAUUUAGGAACAGAGAAACAGCAGCUAUGCUAUCGUAAAUACAUUAUCUUAUGCAUUCUAAAUUACCGCCCAUUUGGAAAAGGAAAAUGCAAUAAAUAUUUACUCUGAGCUGCGCUUCGGUAGAUUGGUCGUAGAUGCUGGCCGGGUUGGCCAACAGAUCUCCCUGUUUUCGGAAGAAUGUCAAUGGUGGUCCAUUGGAUACGUGGUGGUAUCUUCGUCUGGUUGUUAGACUGGAUCCGUCGUCCGUCCUUUCCUAACCCACGUUAGCAGCGGCCGCUGCUAACUCAACGGCUAGGAAGUAGCACUUCUGUAGUGAAUAAGCUCAAAGUUCAUACCAGUUCAUACCAGAGCUCACGCCGAGGUUGGCUUAGUUCUGUACUUGACAUGUGUGUCCUUCUAACGUAGAGGCUGCAGACCUCCCGUACUGGAACCAACCUGGUUAUCUUUUCGUCAAAGGAUUAUAUAGUAGAGAGGGGGAGGGAGGUGUUUCAUCGUUUAUAACCGCUGUCUCUUCACAGGGUUGGGCCACUGAUCGAGCAGGGCACUUUCCUUAUGAAAACCCAAUUCUCUCGUUUGGAAGCUAAAAUUACAUUUCAUCUCCUAACAAACAUUUUCAAUAUCAAACAUUUCAAUUGCAUAACAAUUCCAUGUGACUCUGAUAACUAGAGGGUGGAUACUUUCCCAGACUCUCUAUAUUUAACACAGGCUAUUCACGUCCUUCAGUAGAUUCAGAGGGGAAGAGAGAAAGAUUUUCCCAAAAGAAAGCCCUGCCCAGUGUUCAAUAACAUGAAUACAUAGUCAGAUUGUGUCAUUAUACUGCGUACAUUGAGAUCUUUCAUCUGACUAACAACUGUGAACAUUUCACCAGUGCAAAAGGAUUCCACAGAUGAUCCCUUACUGUCAAUGGAAAAUCAAGGGGAGUUUGAAAUCACAACAGAAAGCACACUACAUGGAAUGAGCAAAGAGAGUGGCCUGACAACUUUAGGUCCAUAUCCAUCCCAGUCACCGGGUGACAGUGAAAAGAAGGGGGAAUUCAUCACACCUAUCCUUCCCAGCACAACAGAAGAAACAGAGAAGAUUUUCCCAAAAGAAAGCCCUGCCCAGUGUUCAAUAACAUGAAUACAUAGUCAGAUUGUGUCAUUAUAAUGAUUGGCCAACCAUCUUAGUGUCUGAGCACUUGUCAUCACUGCGUACAUUGAGAUCUUUCGUCUGACUAACAACUGUGAACAUUUCACCAGUGCAAAAGGACCUUUCCUAAAUCCACAAAGAUUGAGACUGUAGAUUUGUAAGCACGGAGUGUUUGUAUAAACUGUGAAGUGAAGUGUAUCGCUGGUGAGGAGCAGUCUACCCUUAACCUGACCAGCAUAACAUGAGGAGGGACUUCGCUUCGUCGCGCAAUGAUGAUGUCAUUUGUCCAAUGUCACUCGUCCAAUGCCACUUCUAUGACCAGAAUCGUUUCUUAUACUUAGUCCAAGUACCUAAAAGAUGAACAAUACAUAGGUAAAGCUAAGUUAAAUCAAGACAGUGUAUUAUAUAACGAUUAUUCGACUAAUAAAUUCUUCCAUCAGAUGUCAGUGUUAUUUUAGCGUUGACUUUGCAUAAACUAAUUUAUUUAUUAAAGAAGUUCAAAAUGUUACAUUGGACCUAAGCUAUAGUAUAGCUUCUCUCUGUUGCUUCAGUAUUCCAACACUUUUUACCUCCUCGUAAUUUGUUCAACCAUAUUCUAAUGUUUUCAGUGUAUCGCUGCUUAUCAAUUCCUCAACCAAACGUUAUUUAUUGAAAACAUGGAAAUAGAUUGUAUUUUGUUCCUUUUCUGUAUUAGUUACUACUUUUUCCAAUGAAAUGUGUUUCCAUCAUAUUUUUCAGAAUAUAUAGUAUUCAAACCUGUUUUCACUGGUGAAAUUUUGGCAGUCUAAAGUUCUCCCUUUGUAUUUAAC